rnacentral:rRNA from 1 species
GACUAACGCUGGCGGCGUGCUUAACACAUGCAAGUCGAACGGUGAAAGCGGAGCUUGCUCCGCUGGACCAGUGGCGAACGGGUGAGUAACACGUGGGCAACCUGCCCUUCACUUCGGGAUAACUCCGGGAAACCGGGGCUAAUACCGGAUAUGACCUCUGCGGGCAUGCGCGGAGGUGGAAAGUUUUUCGGUGCAGGAUGGGCCCGCGGCCUAUCAGCUUGUUGGUGAGGUAGUGGCUCACCAAGGCGACGACGGGUAGCCGGCCUGAGAGGGCGACCGGCCACCAUGGGACUGAGACACGGCCCAGACUCCUACGGGAGGCAGCAGGGGGGAAUAUUGCGCAAUGGGCGAAAGCCUGACGCAGCCACGCCGCGUGCGGGAUGACGGCCUUCGGGUUGUAAGCCGCUUUCAGCAGGGAAGAAGCCGCAAGGUGACGGUACCUGCAGAAGAAGCACCGGCUAACUACGUGCCAGCAGCCGCGGUAA